GAUGAACGCUGGCGGCGUGCCUAAUACAUGCAAGUCGAGCGAACAGACGAGGAGCUUGCUCCUCUGACGUUAGCGGCGGACGGGUGAGUAACACGUGGAUAACCUACCUAUAAGACUGGGAUAACUUCGGGAAACCGGAGCUAAUACCGGAUAAUAUAUUGAACCGCAUGGUUCAAUAGUGAAAGACGGUUUUGCUGUCACUUAUAGAUGGAUCCGCGCCGCAUUAGCUAGUUGGUAAGGUAACGGCCUACCAAGGCAACGAUGCGUAGCCGACCUGAGAGGGUGAUCGGCCACACUGGAACUGGGACACGGUCCAGACUCCUACGGGAGGCAGCAGUAGGGAAUCUUCCGCAAUGGGCGAAAGCCUGACGGAGCAACGCCGCGUGAGUGAUGAAGGUCUUCGGAUCGUAAAACUCUGUUAUUAGGGAAGAACAAAUGUGUAAGUAACUAUGCACGUCUUGACGGUACCUAAUCAGAAAGCCACGGCUAACUACGUG
rnacentral:rRNA from 1 species